rnacentral:rRNA from 1 species
CCUACGGGCGGCAGCAGUGGGGAAUAUUGCACACUGGGGGAAACCCUGAUGCAGCGACGCCGCGUGAGUGAAGAAGUAUUUCGGUAUGUAAAGCUCUAUCAGCAGGUAAGAAAAUGACGGUACCUGAUUAAGAAGCCCCGGCUACCUACGUGCCAGCAGCCGCGGUAAUACGUAGGGGGCAAGCGUUAUCCGGAUUUACUGGGUGUGAAGGGUGCUUAGACGGCAGGACAGGUCUGGAGUGAAAUGCCGGGGCUUAACCCCGGAACUGCUUGGGAAACUGUGCAGCUAGAGUGCAGGAGAGGUAAGGGGAAUUCCUAGUGUAGCGGUGAAAUGCGUAGAUAGUAGGAGGAACACCAGUGGCGAAGGCGGCUUACUGGACUGUAACUGACGUUGAGGCUCGAAAGCGUGGGGAGCAAACAGGAUUAGAUACCCUUGUAGUC